CUCAACGGAUAAAAGGUACUCCGGGUAUAACAGGCUGAUACCGCCCAAGAGUUCAUAUCGACGGCGGUGUUUGGCACCUCGAUGUCGGCUCAUCACAUCCUGGGGCUGAAGCCGGUCCCAAGUGUAUGGCUGUUCGCCAUUUAAAGUGGUACGCGAGCUGGGUUUAGAACGUCGUGAGACAGUUCGGUCCCUAUCUGCCGUGGACGUUUGAGAUUUGAGAUGGGCUGCUCCUAGUACGAGAGGACCGGAGUGGACGAACCUCUGGUGUUCCUGUUGUCACGCCAGUGGCAUUGCCGGGUAGCUAUGUUCGGAAAAGAUAACCGCUGAAAGCAUCUAA
rnacentral:rRNA from 1 species